rnacentral:rRNA from 1 species
UACAGAGGUCUCAAGCGUUGUUCGGAUUCAUUGGGCGUAAAGGGUGUGUAGGUGGCGCGCUAAGUCGGGUGUGAAAUUUCGGAGCUUAACUCCGAAACUGCAUUCGAUACUGGCGUGCUUGAGGACUGGAGAGGAGACUGGAAUUUACGGUGUAGCAGUGAAAUGCGUAGAUAUCGUGAGGAAGACCAGUGGCGAAGGCGGGUCUCUGGACAGUUCCUGACGCUGAGGCGCGAAGGCCAGGGGAGCAAACGGG